rnacentral:tRNA from 1 species
AAGGAUUGAAGCUAAUGCAUUUAAUUGUUGAUUAAAAUUUUGCAUAUAAUUUUAUAUGUCUUCCUUG